rnacentral:rRNA from 1 species
UCGGAAUCACUGGGCGUAAAGGGCGCGUAGGCGGCCCUCCUAGUCGCGUGUGAAAGCCCCGGGCUCAACCUGGGAACGGCGCGCGAAACGGGGGGGCUGGAGUUCGGGAGAGGAGCGUGGAAUUCCCAGUGUAGAGGUGAAAUUCGUAGAUAUUGGGAAGAACACCGGUGGCGAAGGCGGCGCUCUGGACCGAGACUGACGCUGAGGCGCGAAAGCGUGGGGAGCAAACAGG